UUUUUGUUUUUUUUGUUUUUUUUUCAGCAAAAAAGACUGAUUAUCUUAUAGUCACCAUGAAACACCCAGCAGAUGUUGGUGAGAGAAUCCUAUAGAGUCAUGAUGACUCUGAGCUGUCCUCAAGGACAGACUUGCAUGGAAUCUAGUGAUUGUGUGAUAAGUGGAUAAUUACACAAGAUGAAUAUGCUCUAAUAUGAUACACUUAAGCUGUUAAGAUCUCACGUUAAGUGCUCUUACUCAUAAAAGGGGGAGGGGGGCAAAAGGAAAUUUUGGAGAUGAUGAAAGUUUAUUACCUUGAUUGUGGUGAUGGAUUCAUGUGUAUAUAUUUAUGCAUAUACCCAACACAUCCAGUUUUAUACACUAAACAUGUACAGUGUUUUGUGUACUGAUUGUAUGUCAAAAAUCUGUUUUUUAAAAAAGAAAAAGAAAUACGUUGAAAGACACUAAAGGUCAUAGAGGAAGAGAAGGAGAAGAGUGUUGGGAAGGUGCUUUCUGUGGAACCCAGAGCAGGCUCAUAGGGUUCAAUCUCUGUAUCUGGGGGCAGAGCUCAGCAAUAAAAUAGACUAGAAUUCAGAAACCACCCUUAAAUUCCUACUACCUGUGGAUUCUCUCUGCAUUGGAAUGUAUUGCUUAAGACUGAAACCCAAGACUUAUAGGGCAUUCUCUGAAACUCUGUUUAUAUCCUUAGUUGAUUAGCAGUAAGAUCAUUUUGGAAAAGGACAUCAUAUCCCUAGCUGCCUUCCACAAUAAGGAAACAUAUUUCCAUGGUCGUUACUUCUUUUGUUCAGUGGAAAGUAACAUAGACCCUACAGUAUCACACAAUGGGGUGGGGGUAGUGGUGCAGUAGAAAUGGCAUGGAAAGGUAAGAGAAAAAUAGAGAAAUGAAUGAGUUGACAGGAUAUGGCCACUGGGUCAAUAUGGAGGGUAGCAAAAGGAGGAGAGUGCAAGGAAAUUCCAUCUUGAGUUUGUAUGCCUUUGGGAUAUCCAAAUGCUCAGCACACAAGAAAAAGCACUCUAGUACUCAGGGAUGAAUAUAGAGAUUUAGACAUUAUCUCCUAAAUGAAACUAUGACAGGAAACUUGAAACCAAUGCUAACAGAGAGGGAUGGAAAGUUAGAGUAGAAAAAAAAAAAAAAAAACCACUAGAAUGUUGGGAAGAAGGAAAGGAACCAAGAGAGGCAAAGCAGGAAUAUUUUUAGAGGAGAAAGAAGAACCAAUACUAUGCUGCACCUGAGAAGUAAGGGAAGAGGAACCAACUAGCAACAACACGAUGAAAGGGUGGAGGAGAAAGAGCUUGAAAGAGGCCACCAGGGGCACCUGAGUCAAGCAUCUGACUCUUAAUUUUGGCUCAGGUCAUGGUCUCAGGGUCUUAUGAUCAAGCCCUGAAUAGAGCUCUGUAUUCAAAGGGAAUCUGCUCUCCCUCUCCCUCUGCCUCUCCUCCCCUGCACACACACACACUCUCUCUCUCUCUCUCUCUUUCAUAAAUCAAUUAAUCAAUCAAUCUUGAAGGUCUGGAUGACCAUCCAAGAGAGCCCUUCUCCUAAAGUGGUAUAGGCAAAUAUCACAUUGAAUUGCUUGAAGCGGCAAAAAGGUGGGUGUGUCACAAAGAGAUGGAGGUAGUGACUAUGUAGCUUGAUUUUUCUAAGAAUUUAUUGGUGAAAAAUAGGAGAAAAUGAUCAUAUCAGUAGAGGAUUAAAUAAAGAAGACUUGAACAGAAGGCAAUGAGCUAGUGGAAAGAGAGAAAAAUAAUAUGACACAAUGAACUUCAGGUUAUUUUUAAAGAUUUAUUUGAGAGAGAGUGUGAGUGGGGAGAGGGGCAGAGGGAGAGACAGAAUCUUGAGCAGACUCCCUGCUGAGCAUGGGGCUGGACAUGGGGCUUGAUCUCAUAACCCUGGGAUCUUGACCUGAGCUGAAAUCAAGAGUUGGAUGUUUAACCAACUGAGCCACUCAGGCUCCUGACACAAUGAACUUUAAUUCAACAAAUAUUUAACGGAUUCCUACUACUACCAGGCACUUGAAUAUGAUGCACAGCAACAUGUGGGCUUCUACACAUGGCCCUAUUACUGCAAUGUUCUUUUUUUUUUUUGGCUAUUAUCUCCCUGGAGCAAGAAUUGUGACUUGUUCACCGGUGUCUCCACGGAGCCUAGCACAGAAUCUGAUACAUGAUAGAACCUCAGCAAAUAUUUAUGGAAUAAGUGAACGACAAAGUUCCAACCUUUAAGACAUUCUGUACUGUCUUUGUUUAGUUAACUCCCCUCUGUCUUUUGGGUUUACACUUAGACAUUUGCUUCUUUCAGGAAGUUUCCUUCAACUUCUAGGAUUGAUUAGUCACCCCAUAUGUGUGCCCAAUUCCUCCAUCUAUCUUUCAGUCUAAAAGAAAACACACACACACACACGCAUGCACGCGUGCGUGCGCAAGUCAACAAAUGGAUUUUUGCCAGCCCUUAAGCAAGGAAGAAACAUAGACAGCAAAGGCACAGUGGGGCUCACUGGUUUGGGAACUCAAGGGAAUUAAUUUCCCGUGCACUUCAGGUCUCUCAUAUACAACUCUCAUUGGUUCUCAUUUUACUUCUGCAAGUUUUCCAGGGUUAGCCUGACCUGCUCAUCUGAAUGC
rnacentral:lncRNA from 1 species